rnacentral:rRNA from 1 species
GAUCAUGGCUCAGAUUGAACGCUGGCGGCAGGCUUAACACAUGCAAGUCGAACGGUAACAUAAAGAAGCUUGCUUCUUUGAUGACGAGUGGCGGACGGGUGAGUAAUGCUUGGGAAUCUAGCUUAUGGAGGGGGAUAACUACGGGAAACUGUAGCUAAUACCGCGUAGUACCGAAAGAUUAAAGUGUGGGACCUUCGGGCCACAUGCCAUAGGAUGAGCCCAAGUGGGAUUAGGUAGUUGGUGAGG